GAUUCCAUAGUGUAGUGGUUAGCAUGUCUGCUUUACACACAGAAGGUCCUGGGUUUGUGCCCCAGUGGAGCCA
rnacentral:tRNA from 1 species